rnacentral:rRNA from 3 species
CCUGACCCCAUGCCGAACUCAGAAGUGAAACGCCGUAGCGCCGAUGGUAGUGUGGGGUCUCCCCAUGCGAGAGUAGGGAACUGCCAGGCA